GUGGGGAAUAUUGCGCAAUGGGGGCAACCCUGACGCAGCAAUACCGCGUGAGUGAAGAAGGUUUUCGGAUCGUAAAGCUCUGUUAUUGGGGAAGAAGAAUGACGGUACCCAAUGAGGAAGUCCCGGCUAACUACGUGCCAGCAGCCGCGGUAAUACGUAGGGGACAAGCGUUGUCCGGAAUGACUGGGCGUAAAGGGCGCGUAGGCGGUCUGAUAAGUCAGAUGUGAAAGGUACCGGCUCAACCGGUGACGUGCAUUUGAAACUGUCAGACUUGAGUAUUGGAGAGGCAAGUGGAAUUCCUAGUGUAGCGGUGAAAUGCGUAGAUAUUAGGAGGAACACCAGUGGCGAAGGCGGCUUGCUGGACAAAUACUGACGCUGAGGUGCGAAAGCGUGGGGAGCGAACAGGA
rnacentral:rRNA from 1 species